GUUUGCAGGAAACUCCUCCUACCUAGGUAGCAGGAAAAUUUUACUCAAUAAAAAAUUAACGAGUACAAACUCUACAAAAAAGUUUAGAGAAAAAAAACGCAAAACCCUUCCUCUUCAAACCUCGCUUUAACAAUGGCCGACGACGCCGGUGCCGACGUCGAUAUUCCGGAGCAAGAAGACAAUGUUAUUCCAGUGCAAGAACAACUCAAUGACAUAAAGCUGAAGGUUGGCUCGUUAACUCGGAACAUGGAGGCGUUAACUGGGAUUGUGGAGGCGUUAACUGGGACCGUGGAGGCUCUGAAUCGCCGUGUGAACCCACCGGCUGCUGCCAAUACUAAGUCGGCGGUGGAAAUUUUCCGGUUUGCUGUGCUCUGUUCCAUUUCUCUAACGGCGGCCGUACUAUUCUCUUUCGAAGGCUUCCGCUAAUUUUCAGAAUUGUGUCAGCUGAUUGGUCAGAGAGGUGGAUCCUAAUUCCGAUGUGAAGUGCAGUGUGAUUUUAAUUGGUACGUUGAACAGUUAGUAUUUCAAUUGGGUUAAAUUGAACAGUUAGUAUUUCAAUUGGAUUAAAUUGAACUUUUUUUAGUGUUUUCUAAUCUUUUUCUUUAAUGAAGAAGAUGGUUUUUGCAUUGAUAAUUGGAUGUGAAUAGGCAUUUUAAUUGGUCUUGUUAUUAGCAUUGAUAUUUUGCUUGCCGUUAUUGUUUAAUGGGGAAUUUUUGGAUGAACUCUGUUA